ensembl:lncRNA novel transcript, antisense to HBP1
GUAAAAUGAGGAUAUAAUCUACAAAUAGGGUAAUUAAUAUUAAAUAAAUUAACAUUAUAUAUAUAGUAGGCACUCAAGUUUGUUAAAUCAUAUUACCUGAACAGAAAUGUCAACUUCAAAGAGUCAAAACUGACUGUUUUAAACCCGCCUGAGGCCUAGAAGGUUGGCCUCAAUUCUCAAUGUUUCAGAAUGGGCUACUUACAACAGAACCUUGAAUUAUGUAUGAGAGCUCAUCAACUGAUUGCUGACUUCUGAUUCUUCCUGAGCUAGAAACUACUCACAUGUCCUCUGUAAACCAUGACCCGAGAAUUUGCUUGGAGCAGUCCAACUUGGACUUUUUCCUCUUCUUACCUCUUUCUCUUCUUGCCCUCCCCCUAGGCCAGGCAUCAUCUCCCUUAACCAGUCUAAUCCACAAUGAAAAUAAAGUCACUUUCAGCUUCUCAAUUUUUUCCUGGUUUCUCCAUGAUGAUACCACCCAUUUCCACUCCUUUGCAGGGUGGGUGCUCCUGCUGUUAUAUUGAAGUCACUCAACAGUAAAAUGAGACCAAUGACUAACAUCAUCUUGGGAGUGAUUAUUAUUCAGUGAGAUCAAAUGGUAAGAAUUUGCUAUCUCAGAAAAGCAGGAAUUAGGCAGGCAAGUUUUCCCUUUUACUUUAAAAAAGUUUGGUGCUAUGUAAUAAUAUGUAAACUUUACAUAUAUUUGUAAGUUAUGAAGCAUACAAAUAAAUGAGUGAACCCACAA